AAAUUGAAGAGUUUGAUCAUGGCUCAGAUUGAACGCUGGCGGCAGGCCUAACACAUGCAAGUCGAACGGUAACAGGAAGCAGCUUGCUGUUUCGCUGACGAGUGGCGGACGGGUGAGUAAUGUCUGGGAAACUGCCUGAUGGAGGGGGAUAACUACUGGAAACGGUAGCUAAUACCGCAUAACGUCGCAAGACCAAAGAGGGGGACCUUCGGGCCUCUUGCCAUCGGAUGUGCCCAGAUGGGAUUAGCUAGUAGGUGGGGUAACGGCUCACCUAGGCGACGAUCCCUAGCUGGUCUGAGAGGAUGACCAGCCACACUGGAACUGAGACACGGUCCAGACUCCUACGGGAGGCAGCAGUGGGGAAUAUUGCACAAUGGGCGCAAGCCUGAUGCAGCCAUGCCGCGUGUAUGAAGAAGGCCUUCGGGUUGUAAAGUACUUUCAGCGGGGAGGAAGG
rnacentral:rRNA from 1 species